UCGUCAUGAUGGCGUCGAUGAAGCCAUCCAUGUCGGCGGCGCGGACCAGCUCCGACGGGACGACGUUGGGAAUCGUGGUGAGUCGAAUGUUGUCCGGGGUGGCUUCGGAACCGAUGAAGCCGAGCCAUUCCUCCGUGACGACGAAGGUGAUGAGAAUGUCAGGCUUUUGUGAAGUCAGUAGCUUGCAGAGGUUCAUCAUCGGGUUGAUGUGGCCCCGACCGGGAUACGGCAUGGCCACCACGUGGCAGAUAGGGGCUCUCUGGUCUCUGGCGGGGUUCAUGUCUGCGUUUAUGAAGAAGAAGAUGUAACUUUGUAGUUAUAACUUAUAAGAGUGGUUAUAUAGAGAGGUAGGUACAGAGGAGAAAGAAGGCAGUUCGAACUGAAAUUAAGUUGGGGUUGCUUGAUGGGUAUGGUUGGCGACUCCAUUGAAUAUUCAAGGUUCCGUAUUUGGCUUGCUUGCUUGAUUUGGUAAAGGGAUUCUCUUGUGACGGAUCCAAGACGAUUAUGGCAUUUUUAAUGAUAAAUUGUUAAUUAUGAUGUUUAUAUUAAGAAAGGAAAAUUGUUAUUGGUAUUCUACAAUUGUCAUUUGACACUACAAAUUUUUUAUGUUUAGAAAGAACAAUACACGUGUGAAAUGCAAAUUGAGAUUUAUAGAGUCUAAGAACGGUUUUCUAAGACUAUCUCCAACACUUGGGCUAAAAGUUAAAUUUUUUAGUCCGGAAAAUUUAGCUUUUGGCUUAUAUCCCAUAAACAGUUUUUUUACUCCAACCCUUCUGGCCUAAAAUUUUAGCUCAGGAUUAUUAAAGAAUGAAUUUAGGCUAAUUUUUUUCUUAAAUUAACUUUAAAAAAAAUUAUGUAGACUAUCGUAAAUUAAUUUUACGAACAUUUUAAGCUAAAAAUAUUUAAAUUCCGAUUAAUAUUGAAAAAUUACUAAAUCGAUAUGUGAAACUCAUGAAACACUGUGAUGAAUAUGAAAAUCAUGAUAGAGAUGUAUAAACACAAAAUACAUAAAACACACAAGGUACACAGAACACAUGUGAAACACAUACAAAACACAUUUAAAACACGUACACAUGUGAAAGACAUACAAAACACAUGAUAGAGAUGAAGCACACAUAUAACACAUGUGAAACACAUGACACACACGAAACACAUACAAAAUACAUACAAAGCAAGCCUUCAACUUUCACCAAUCGAUCAACUUUCACCAAUCUUUCAACAAACUUUCAACUUUCACCAAUCGUUCAAUUUUCACCAAGGAUUUGGUUGAGCAUGUAUGGCGCCGAGAAGGUGAACGUUGAUGAUGUUAGUUAAGCAUUUAUGAACGUUGAUGAUGCUGGUUAAGCAUUUAUGUAAUAAUUUUAAAUAUACUAUGUUGGUAUUUUCUAGUAAUAAAUUUAAGUGUCUUCUUGUGCAAAGUAUUUUGUGUAGUACAUUGGAUAAAUUAUUGAAUGGAGAUUGAAUUAUUGAAGACAUCUAUUCUACAUCAAAGUGCGGAAUAAUAAAUACAAUAAUUAUUGAAGGCAUCUAGAUUAAUAUAAACAAUAAUUCAUAAGCCAUAAAUUUAAUACACAUGACAAUUAAUAAAGUACAUAAACUUAAUACAAACGACAAUUAAUAAACCACAUAAACCACAUAAACUUAAUAUAAUCGAUAAUUCAUACACUACAUAAACUUAAUAAUGAUAUCUACUAUCUUGACUUGGUGGUGGACUUGGGAUAUAGAGUUGAGAUGAUAUACUCCUUGUAGCAUACUUUCGCAAAAUUUCAUUUUGCUUACCACGUAAGAACUUCUUCAUUUUUAGAGUGUAUUUGUUGAGGUCCUCAAUCAUGAAAUUAAUUUCAAACCUAUCUUGCUCCCUAUCCCCUUCUUCCUUCAUUUGCAAACGCAUUUGGGCCGCUUCUUUUUUGCGAGCGCUAUGGGUUUCGCUCAAUCUUGCAAUUAUUUUAGUUAUUUUAGCCGUUGGAUUUAAAUUUGGGCCGUUAGAUUAUUUUUACCGUUAUAUUUGAUUAUUUUCGAUCUCAGCCGUUGGAUUCAAUGUAUUUUAAAAUUACAUUUUUUUUAAAAACAAAAUUUGAAUUUGGACCGUUGGAUCAACCAACCAAUGGUUCGUAAAGCCCAGCUGUAGGAUGUAGAAAAGAGCCGUUGGGCUCUGGUUGGUGGCCGACAGCGGCCCUGAUAGUGGGCCCCCCUGUCAGGCGCUGAAGCCAAACGGCUCGUGUGGGGCGAGUGCGCAAGUGAACGGGCCGAGAUUGGGCUCCCUUUGGGUGAGUCCACGCGUUUGUGGGCUAUUUCUUAGGGGGGUAUUUGGCCUUGGUUUGGCAUUUGGCUUGGGUUGGGUUUUUUUGGGGGGGGGGGAGGGUGGUAUAAAUGAGGUAAUUUGGCAAAUAGCCCAGGGUUAAGUGUGGUCUAAGAAAGAUCAUUUAUAUAUGUUGCGAAACUUUUCAAACUCUUUUAAAAUCUUUCCAAAAUCUCAAUUGAAUAUGUAAUCUUUUAAAUGUGUUAUUCAUGUUCAAAAAGUAUUAGACUAUUAAAAUACUGAGUCAGGUAUCAACACUUAAAAGUGAACAAGUGCAUGUGUGGAUCCACGUAGGUACGAGUGGUCCUGAGACAAACCUGAGGUAGGAAAAAAAAGCUAGUGAAGGUCCUUCGUGGACUAUUCAGAUGUUUUGUGUCCAUCCAAUGUUUAAUGAAUGAAUGUUUGGCAUAUAUAGAUAUCAUUUUGCUGGACGUGUCGAUUUCUCUUAACACAAGUUGCAUCAAUCAGCAAAGGAUCUCGACAGCACUUAGUAGAUACAUCUACGUGGCACGGCUCGAUAGAGGACAAUAAGCACAUCAAGCGCUCGACGUAAUUUCCUUUUUGAAACAAAAAAAAAAAAAAAAAACUAAAACAAGAUCUGCACGUUGCGUGCUAUCUUUGUUAGAAAAAUGAAGAUCAUUAAACCAAGACCCCUCAAGGUUAGAAUUUUGAAUCUGUCAAUUAACAUGUGCCUAGAAGUUUUAAACACUUUCAUCACAAACAUCAACAAAAAGUAGAGUUUUAUUUGAUAGAAAAAGAGAACAAAACAAGAAAUGCUCAAUCCUCACGCACGCCCUCUGCGAAAUGACUAAUGAAGGCCUUGAUGAUGGUAUGAGAUGAUCCACCUUCUGCAAUGGCAUCAUGACAUAACUGCUUAAGUUCUCUGGCUGUCCUCCUCAUUUCCUCCCUUCAUCAUCCUCCAAAUCCAUAAACUUCUUCACUAACCCUGCAAUAUCCUCUGUUGUCACUAUCCUCAACCUUCCUCACCCUCCAUCCAACCCUCAAUUGGUCACACCAAGGCACUACCAACCCCAUGUCACCACAAACCUCCUUUACCCUAUCGGUUUCCCCACGAACCGGCCAAAUGAACCGAACGCCACUCUUGCACAAACCGGCUGCAAUCUCGUCCAUUUGGAGUCGGACGCUAGAAACUGAAAGGAAACUUCCCAUGGCGAGGUACAAAAUGGAUGCAGGAAAAUAAGCAAGGGUCUCGAAGAGACGAGGGAUAGAACCUGGGAAUCGCUCAACCAAAGGCAACGGAGCUUGCUCAACCUCGCUAAUCGUGAAUUCACUCACACGAUCAAACCAAACGCUUGAUUUGAGAAGAAAGAAAAUACUCUUUUCGGUUGCACAAAGCAAUAUAUUUGUAAUUAAUCGUCUCCCAAAUGCUUGUAUUUCAUCAUAAGAGACUCACCAUAAUUUAGAUGAACUUAACAAAUUCCCGAAGUAAUUAAAAUAGACAGCCUUUAUUAUUCCCAAAGCAUAGUAGUGGUCUUCAAAUUGUUUUCUUCAAGGCCUGCCUCUCCCUCAUAAAAAACUGAGCUACAAGGUUGAGAGUCUAGCCAUUGGAAUAGUUAGCAUCACUAGUUACUUGGGUAGGAGGGUCAUUUUGCUCAUAGUAGGGUAUUGAUGGGCCCAUAGUGUAAAUGGGUAGUGAUAAUUCUGAUCGUAAAAUGUCGAUGGUUAGGGUUUCAAGUUCAUAGGAGAUGGCAGAGAAUAGCAGGUAUUGUGCUUUAGGUACCCAGGAAAAUGAGUUAAGCAAGAAUAUUUCGGUUGCUUUCAUAGAUGAACUGAGGGAGGUGCGCUAGUCGUGUCGAAGAAACUCCGGUAAUGUAGCUCACACGUUUAUUUCCCUGAUCUGUUAACAAUGCAAAAUUGUUGUUAUAAGUAGCAAACUUACACAAUAAAAACGAAAUCUUAAACGAAAUGUUAGACUUACAACACGAGGAUGUGCUCCUGUCAUAUACGUAAAACUAUCAGUUAACACUCACUAAUAUCUUAAGAAAAAUGUUCUCUUCCUGCACGUUGGCUCAAUUCAACACUACUGUCAUCAGAAAUUGUGGUAGCGACACUCAGAAGAUGGCACUCUCACCGGUGAUGUAAUAAAACCAAAUUGCAGUGUGCAAUCUUCUCUUACUUCUUGAUUGCAUCCAUAUAUGGAAGCUAGAACUUAAAAAUAAGUCCUCCAGGGAUUUUAAAGCUUGCAGCGGCCAUGCCUAACUGCUUUUUAUACAGUUUGGUUGUGCCAGACCCGUUCAAAGUGAAACAGGAAACACCCUCAUAUGAAACAUAAUAAGAACAAAAUUCUCAAGAAAAUUGGAGUUUGGAAAGUUCCCGAAUUCCAAUUUUUAUUACUCCUCAAAUGAAUUUGAUCCCAAUCAAUCAAUAUAAUCGGGAACCAAAUUGAUCCCAGGUUUGGUUCCCAACCAAACUGGAUACACCCUCAGAUGAAACACAAUUAAUUAUUUUAGAGUGCCAAUAGCAGCCCCUUAAAUAAAACCAAAAGUGCAAAACCAGAUACAAACAACAACAAAAAAGCCUUAUCUCACUAAGUGGAGUCGGUUGGCAAAACUAGAUGCAAACAUUCCACAUAGUUGAGAAUGCACUUGAAGUACAACCCCUUGCACCGACAGUUUGUAUUUUCAUCGACGCACAAGACAAAUCACUACCAGCUUUGCACCGUCUUUUGAGAACCAGCAACAACAAGAUUCAGUGUGCUCAAUGCUUAUGCAUGGCCUUGAAAAAUGUCUACAAUGAAGGCAUUGAUGUUCGUUUGAGAUGAUCCGCCUUCUUCAAUAGCAUCAUGACAUAUCUGUUUAAGUUCUCUGGCCCUUCUUCUCAUUUCUCUCCCUUCAUCGUCCUCCAAAUCCAUAAACUUCUGCGCCAGCACAGCAAUCUCCUCGCUAGUCACCAAAUGGUCGAUUUUGUCCUCAGCCUUCCUCAACCUCCACCCAACUUUCCAAUCCUCCACAAUCAUCUUACUAACCAUGCCUUGAUCCAUACGUAACGGAAAGGUCAGAAACGGGACACCAGCAAAAACACCUUCCCUAACCGAGUUCCAACCGCAAUGUGUCAAAAACCCACCAACACUAGAAUGGCACAAAACCCUCAAUUGUUCACACCAAGGCACUACCAAACCCAUGUCGCCACAAGCAUUUUUUAACCUGUCCGUUUCCCCACGGGCCACCCAUAUGAACCGAACCCUACUCAAGCGCAAACCGCCUGCAAUCUCAUCCAUUUGGGCACCUGAAAAUGAAAGAAAACUUCCCAUGGAGAUGUACAGAACAGAGCUGAAAGGUUGAGAAUCUAGCCAUUGUAGAUAGUUGAUUCCAGAACUCGGGUGAUCGUUGGAUUUGAUGUAGGGUAUUAAUGGACCAAUUGUGUAAAUGGGUAGUGAGAAUAUUGAUCUUAAACGUCGAUGACUUGGGGUUCAAGCUCAUAGAUGGAGGGGAAUAAGAGAUAUUGUGCUCUAGGCACCCAUGAGAAAUCUUCAAGGAUGUGGUGGAGAAUGUUUGGGAAGAUUUCACUAAUGAAGGGCAGGUCUGCUAGUCGUGUUGAAGAAACACCUGGGAUGUAGUCCACACGUUCAUUUCCCCUCUCUAUAAACACACAGGAUAGCAUAAAAAUUUAAAAACAAAAUGGAGGGCACAAAAUUGUGACCCAUGUGGUGAAAAAGAUUCUUAGUACAAACUGAACUUUGUGGUUAAGCAUGCUCGAUCUAAUCCAAAUCGAACUUUGUAUCCUAAUUUUGAGCAAUCUAACCGGAACUGGAUCCAAAAGGAUCUGAGUCCAUUAAUUAAUGAAUCUGGACCAUUGAUAUUUGAUACAACGAUUACAAUUAUUAUAACUUUAAAUGAAUCUUCUGUUUGUAAUCGUUAGAUCAAAUUUCAAUGAUCCGAAUUCAUUGAUUAGUGGGCUCUGGAAUGAAUCUAGUUCCAAUUUAACCCAUGUGGACAUCAUGUGCAAAGAUGAAAAGAUCAUUUUAAGACGUAUAAGCUUGUUAAUUUAUAUCUUAAAACUUGCUUGAAAAGAUCGAUUCACCUUUCUACAGGAAGCACACACUAGUUAAACUUAGUAGUGGACAAAAUUAGAUUGUUAGGUUUGAUGUGGAAGCACACACUGGAAUGAACGUUUCACUCUUUCAUGAAGUACUUUAAAUUCUUUUUCAAGAUUUCUUUGAGUUUUUAUUAAAUAUUAGUUCUAAAAACAUUUUUAUCAAAAAUAUUUUAAAUUAUUUAAAAAUAUAUCUAAAUAAGUUUUAAGAUAAAAAAAUGCGUUCGUAUAAAAAUUAAAAAUUAAAAAAAAAAGGGACAAAGACACUAACCUAACAAGUCAACCGGGAAAUGCCCGUUGUCUGCUAAAAGAUGAAAAUGUUGGAAAAAGGAGAAAAAGGACGCCGGCAUCGGCCAAAACGACGCCGCCGGGAUACUCCUCCGGUUCCCAACACGGACCGCCCAAGGCAGGAAAGUGUCGGCCACGAUCAGGCUCGGCGGAGGCUCGAGGCGAUCCAUGAGCCGCUCGAAUGGGGCCUCCAUCUUGGUCAUGAUGGCUUCGAUGAAGCUGUACAUGUCGGCGGCGCGGACCAGCUCCGACGGGACAACGUUGGGAAUCGUGGUGAGUCGGAUGUUGUCCGGGGUGACUUCGGAUCCAAUGAAACCGGACCACUCCUCCGUGACGACGAAGGUGAUGAGGAUGUCAGUCUUUUGUGAAGUCAGUAGCUUGCAGAGGUUCAUCAUCGGGUUGAUGUGGCCCCGACCGGGAUACGGCACGGCCACCACGUGGCAGAUAGGGCCUGUCUGGUCUUUGGUGGAGUUCAUGUCUGGGUUUAAGAAGACGACGACCUAACUCUGUAGUUGUAUAUAACUUUGUUUGGACCCAAAUUUACAUCAUCGGCCCAUGUAAUCAAAGCCGUUGAGUAAACGUAGUUCUCAACCGUCGGAUGGAAAAGUGGAGAUAAUUUUUAUUGUUAAAGGAUAAUAUUAUGAUUUUUAUCAUAAUAUUUAUCGUUUAAAAAAUUAUCUUGAUUUUUUCUUGUACAAGAUGAGGUGCAAAUUAUAUCUUCAAAGUGAGCAGUACAGUUCUAUUUAAUUUGGGGUUCUUGGGAUUUAAACGUGAGGUAGAUUAGAGCAUCGG
rnacentral:lncRNA from 1 species